rnacentral:rRNA from 1 species
AUGGAGGUACCUUACGAGUAUCAGCUGGCAUUGGCUGAUUACUGGGAGGGGAGGCCGACCACGGAACCAAAUGUAUGGGUUCCUGGCCUCCCUUUGCAGAUGACAGUUGCUGCUCCUGCUAGCAACAGUGAUCUGGUGGUCAGCUCUACUGGACAGCAGCAGCUGGUUCAGGAGAGUACUCAUCAUCAGCACGCGGUUGAAGUUGAACUAGUGUUCAAUGAAGUAACACAGUCACUCAAGCAGACGGUGGACAAUAUGGCAAUGAAGAUGCACCUGUUCCCGCCAAACAUGGAAGAUCUGGCCUCGUACAAGGCCCCCAAGGUGGUGUCCAUCGGCCCUUAUCACCACGGCGAGAGCGAAGCCCUCAAGCAGAUGGAGAGCAUCAAGCAUGCGGCCGCCGUCCACUUCAUCGACAACACGGGCUGCUCCAUCCAGGAGGUGUAUGGGGCGGUCUGCGCGGUCGCGGAGGUGGCCCGCGGGCACUACGAGGAGGACAAGAUGCGAACUGCCAGCGACGACGACUUCAAGCACAUGCUGUUCUUUGAUGGCUGUUUCCUGCUGCAGUAUAUGUUGUUUUGGUGCAGAAGAGUAAACGAAGACGAUGAUGACGAGACCACCGUGGAUGUGGACCCGUCGUUGCAUAGUGUUUUCAGCUCCAACGACAGCCGCAUCUUCUGUGACGUCGUGCUGCUUGAGAACCAACUCCCCUGGGUGGUGGUUGACACGCUCAAAAGGUUCAUGCGCACGCCCCCGACCAUGGAGUUGUUCGUUCGACGCGUUAAAAUAGACAAAAUGCAUACCCGCCAAGAGCUUGAAUUUGUUCUUGCUCCACUACCUAACUACACACCGCCGCAUCUCCUUGGCCUCCUACGAUACCACAUUGUAGGAAAUACUAAAGUGCCCGAGCCCAGCCCCUUAUCUGACAAGGUCAAGGAAGUAUCAUGGUCUGUCGGCGUCAUUGAACUUGCAGAGAUUGGCAUUGAGGUCACACCCAACGAUAUUAAAGAAGACCUAAAGAAGAUGUACAUCGACAGAGGGUGCUUCACCGGCGAGCUCAGGUUGGCGUCGGUGUCCCUAGGCAACGCAACCGCAACCUUCCUCGUCAACAUGGCGGUUUUCGAGAUGUGCACGACCCCUGAUUUUGAUCAAGAUGAUGAUGAAAUGUCUACUGUCUGCUCGUACCUCUGGCUCCUGGGCAUGGUUACGGACAGCGUGAGUGAUGUGCAGGAGCUACGAAACAAGCAUAUCUUGGAAGGAGGAGCAGGGCUCACCAACGAGGACGUGCUCAAGUUGUUCACCGGGGUCGAGAAGCACCUGCGGAUCGGGAGACGCUAUUACAAGACCAUUGUAGACAUUGCAAACUACAGGUACGCUAGGCGGCCGUGGAUCAUGUUCUACAGGUUCGGUUACCGGAACCGCACAACCAUCAUCACGGUGAUCACCACCAUUGUUGGAGCCGCGGGUUUCCUUGCGACGCUCAAGUCUUUCCGGUAA